CGUGUUAUGAUGACUUCAACACAUUUCUUCUGACAGGUUGGCAGAAGAAAUGCUGACCAGAUUGUUUUUAUAAGCUGCCUAAUUUCUAUAAUGCCUAAUGUCUGAGUUGUGUUCAUGGUAAUUAUUUCUGACAUUUUUAUGCUUCAUGUUGUAGUUGGUGAAAAAUGCUCUCCAGGGUAAACCGGGUGGACAAAGUAUUUUGGUUGGGAAAACCAGGCAUUCUUCUGUUGGUUCAUGUGCUUCGUCCUACAUCCAAAGGCCACAAGAAGAAUCCAAAACGGCUCAUGUCAAACUGUGGACCAUGUUUUCAGAUAUGUGCAGAUGCAAGCCAGUGUUGAAGCCUUCCUCAUUGCCGUGGAACCAGGACAGCCCUUCCUUCUGCAUGUUGGUGAAAACAAGAGCAGCACCAAAGACACUUCACAAUCAGUGAUCAAAAGAUAAUCCAAGCUAGCUUUUGAUGAACUUUGAAAGCACAAUUCACCUUCAGUGCAAAGUACCAUGAAUUCCUCUACAACUUCUGUAUAUUAAUCCAGUCUACAGUUUUCAACAUUGAUGAGACUUGCAUAACAAUUGAGGAGUUUAAGAUCCUUGCUUUUACUUUACCUGGUAGAGUGGACACUCUUUAUUAUGAUGAUCAUUUAAAUACAUACUGUAUCAACGAGAGGAUUUGUUUUAUGUUUUUCCGAUUAAGGACUUGGUUUAUUACAGUCCCUGUGGCAAGCAGUUUUUUGCAUGGUCAGUAUUGAAGGCCAUAUUGUCUUUGAGAGGGUCCAGCCAACAUUCCAGACAGGACAGCGUUGUCCAUCUUCUACAUCUACAUCUUCUACAUUCUAACAUUUGAUGAAGGUGGUGAUGUUUUCUCUUUACAUAAUUAAAAACAGCUUUAUUUACAUAUUGUACCAGCUGUAUUCAGAAUGCCACGCUAUUUAUAUUCUCAGGAAUUUUCCCAUUUUGAUUGUAUUUUUUAGUCGCUUCAUUGGGAUUAACCCAGAAAGGGGCACAAAAGCCGGUCAUGGGAAGAUGGUACCCAAAAAGACAGGAAACACCAUUCAAAAUAAAAAGUGACUGUCAAUGUUCAGGUUUCCACCGUCA